AUUGAACGCUGGCGGCAGGCCUAACACAUGCAAGUCGAGCGGCAGCGGGAAAGUAGCUUGCUACUUUUGCCGGCGAGCGGCGGACGGGUGAGUAACGCCUGGGAAAUUGCCCAGUCGAGGGGGAUAACAGUUGGAAACGACUGCUAAUACCGCAUACGCCCUACGGGGGAAAGCAGGGGACCUUCGGGCCUUGCGCGAUUGGAUAUGCCCAGGUGGGAUUAGCUAGUUGGUGAGGUAAUGGCUCACCAAGGCGACGAUCCCUAGCUGGUCUGAGAGGAUGAUCAGCCACACUGGAACUGAGACACGGUCCAGACUCCUACGGGAGGCAGCAGGGGGGAAUAUUGCACAAUGGGGGAAACCCUGGUGCAGCCAUGCCGCGUGUGUGAAGAAGGCCUUCGGGUUGUAAAGCACUUUCAGCGAGGAGGAAAGGUUGAUGCCUAAUACGUAUCAACUGUGACGUUACUCGCAGAAGAAGCACCGGCUAACUCCGUGCCAGCCGCCGCCGUAAGAC
rnacentral:rRNA from 1 species